GACCCCCACCCACCUCCCCUAACCCCACGAAUGAAUCAGCUGUGCUUCAAAUGACAUCUCUGUCCCACGGAGGCCGGCUGGGCCUCUCAUGGGGGUGCUCAUUGUGGUUUAAGUCAGCUUUGAUUCUUGACCUCCAAGGCUGCCUCUGAGUAGCUAACCGGAGAAUCGGGUGGGGAGGUGAAAAACACCGCAGUCAAAUGACUCAAUCUUUAAUCCUGUGCUUAAGACACCACUGUUGCUGUUUUUUAUAUUUGAAGCACCCAAAGACUGGGCGUCCGCUCAGCCUUGAUGAGCGAGCAGCUAUUUUGUCAGGCCAUCUAUGAUGUUGGGAUAAUGGACAAAGGCCUGAUUGGGCCAUAUAUGGCCUUCUUUAGGGCCUCCUGGAGGUGGAGGAAGUUGUGGGUAAUUUCUAAUAAAGACGGGAAAUGACAAGCCGUGUGUGUAG
rnacentral:lncRNA from 1 species